UCCGUAGGUGACCUCUGCGGAAGGAUCAUUACCGAACAAAGUCAUAUCCUUGACAAACCCAACCUUCGUGAACUGGACAACGUCCUUGGCGAUUGCUCGAGGCUUGAGGCGCGAUCUAUUCGUGUCUUAGGGUGAGGGUGUUCGCUCGGAGCCUUAGGGCUCCAUUCACAAACCAGUGUCGCGGUCAAACGCGCACGACCCAAAACACACACACUAGUAUGUAUUACACACACACACAAAUACACACAACUUCCAACAAUGGAUAUCUUGGCUCCCGCAACGAUGAAGAACGCAGCGAAAUGCGAUACGUAGUGCGAAUUGCAGAAUUCAGUGAAUCAUCGAACCUUUAAACGCAUCUGGCACUUCUGCUUGCAGGAGUAUGCCUGUUUGAGUGUCUCGUCUUACACCUCGCCAACUCGGCCUCGCGUCGAAGUAUGGCGGUGCUGGGCGUCUGCGGAGCACAUCGUGUGCUUGGCGGUGGCCUAAAGUGGAGGGCACCGAUUGGAGUGUCGCUGCGGCUUACGAUAUAAUAUCGUGGGUUAGCGCUGCGUGCUAGGCCGCUUUCGGGCGGCAUCAACUUGCUUCGCAGCUGCUUUGGCGACGGCGCUCCUUGGUGCGCAACAAACCUCACCUCACUCGAGCGUUGACCUCAAAUCAGGUAAGACUACCCGCUGAAUUUAAGCAUAUCAAUA
rnacentral:rRNA from 1 species